rnacentral:sRNA from 1 species
AAAACCAAAAAAAAAAUCAAAAAAAA